rnacentral:rRNA from 1 species
GACGAACGCUGGCGGCGUGCUUAACACAUGCAAGUCGAACGGAAAGGCCCUGCUUUUGUGGGGUGCUCGAGUGGCGAACGGGUGAGUAACACGUGAGUAACCUGCCCUUGACUUUGGGAUAACUUCAGGAAACUGGGGCUAAUACCGGAUAGGAGCUCCUGCUGCAUGGUGGGGGUUGGAAAGUUUCGGCGGUUGGGGAUGGACUCGCGGCUUAUCAGCUUGUUGGUGGGGUAGUGGCUUACCAAGGCUUUGACGGGUAGCCGGCCUGAGAGGGUGACCGGCCACAUUGGGACUGAGAUACGGCCCAGACUCCUACGGUAGGCAGCAGUGGGGAAUAUUGCACAAUGGGCGGAAGCCUGAUGCAGCAACGCCGCGUGCGGGAUGACGGCCUUCGGGUUGUAAACCGCUUUCGCCUGUGACGAAGCGUUAGUGACGGUAAUGGGUAAAGAAGCACCGGCUAACUACGUG